rnacentral:rRNA from 2 species
UUAAAACUCAAAUGAAUUGACGGGGGCCCGCACAAGCGGUGGAGCAUGUGGUUUAAUUCGAUGCAACGCGAAGAACCUUACCUGGUCUUGACAUCCACGGAAGUUUUCAGAGAUGAGAAUGUGCCUUCGGGAACCGUGAGACAGGUGCUGCAUGGCUGUCGUCAGCUCGUGUUGUGAAAUGUUGGGUUAAGUCCCGCAACGAGCGCAACCCUUAUCCUUUGUUGCCAGCGGUCCGGCCGGGAACUCAAAGGAGACUGCCAGUGAUAAACUGGAGGAAGGUGGGGAUGACGUCAAGUCAUCAUGGCCCUUACGACCAGGGCUACACACGUGCUACAAUGGCGCAUACAAAGAGAAGCGACCUCGCGAGAGCAAGCGGACCUCAUAAAGUGCGUCGUAGUCCGGAUUGGAGUCUGCAACUCGACUCCAUGAAGUCGGAAUCGCUAGUAAUCGUGGAUCAGAAUGCCACGGUGAAUACGUUCCCGGGCCUUGUACACACCGCCCGUCACACCAUGGGAGUGGGUUGCAAAAGAAGUAGGUAGCUUAACCUUCGGGAGGGCGCUUACCACUUUGUGAUUCAUGACUGGGGUGAAGUCGUAACAAGGUAACCGUAGGGGAACCUGCGGUUGGAUCACCUCCUU